GCCUUUUUAGCUCAGUUGGUUAGAGCAUCUGACUGUUAAUCAGAGGGUCGCUGGUUCGAGCCCAGCAAAAGGCGCCA
rnacentral:tRNA from 4 species